rfam:Streptomyces sp. NRRL F-4428 contig32.2, whole genome shotgun sequence.
AGAGGAAGUCCGGUGCGAUUCCGGCGCGGUCCCGCCACUGUCACCGGGGAACGCACGCCGCGCGUGCGCCCCGGGAGCCAGGAACUC